CCUGCCUGCUGUAAUUACGCCAUCACCUUCCUAUUUACUAAAGUGCUCAUAGGAAUAGUCGUGACCACUAAAUAAAUAAGUGAAUUCAUCAUCAGGUUUAAAACUGUUCUGGAGAGUCUAUAACCCCGGGAAUUAUAUUUGUAUCUGAAAUGACGCAGAGCUCAGAGCAUAAUCGUCCCCUGUGCCGUGAAAGGAUGGGUCACUUCUCUGCUUGUGACAUUUUGAGAUGUUUGCAUUUAUACAGAGGGAGAAGAGGGGUGGAGAAAAAAAGAUAGUGAAGGGGAAAAAAAGAAAAGAAUAAAGAUGUCGAGACGUAAUCAUUUUGAAAGUGUCUGUAUGAUGCCAUUCAUUUUGUUUCUCAGGCUCUGCACCUUUGAACAUCCUCCUGAUUAAUGCAGGUAACCUUGUUUUUUUUUUGUAGCCUAGAUAGGGGUUGUGUCUCCCUACGUCUCUCUCAGUCUCCUGGUGAGGCAAGAUUUCCAAAAAAAUAGGAAUGCCCAUGUUUUAAAGUAAUAAGAUAAGGGUAUUAUUUGUCUAUUUCCUGAAUUCCAGGGCUCUGUCUCUCGCGCUCCUCGACAAACCCUGUGAACUCCGGAUUACUGUCUUCAGCUUUAUUACGGC
rnacentral:lncRNA from 1 species